rnacentral:rRNA from 1 species
CCAGACUCCUACGGGAGGCAGCAGUGGGGGAUAUUGCACAAUGGGGGCAACCCUGAUGCAGCGACGCCGCGUGAGCGAUGGAGUACUUCGGUAUGUAAAGCUCUGUCAACAGGGAAGAGAAUGACGGUACCUGACCAAGAAGCCCCGGCUAAAUACGUGCCAGCAGCCGCGGUAAUACGUAUGGGGCAAGCGUUAUCCGGAUUUACUGGGUGUAAAGGGAGCGUAGGCGGCAGGGCAAGCCUGAUGUGAAAGCCCGGGGCUCAACCCCGGAACUGCUUUGGAAACUGUGCAGCUCGAGUGCAGGAGAGGUAAGCGGAAUUCCUAGUGUAGCGGUGAAAUGCGUAGAUAUUAGGAGGAACACCAGUGGCGAAGGCGGCUUACUGGACUGUAACUGACGUUGAGGCUCGAAAGCGUGGGGAGCAAACAGGAUUAGAUACCCCAGUAA